rnacentral:rRNA from 1 species
CCGGGUGUAAGGGACCGAAAUUAAGUAGGGAAGUGGGCGAUGCUCUGUGGCGAGAAAAGGCGAAGAUAGGGUGCCCGUACCGCAAACCGACACAGGUAGAUGAGGAGAGAAUCCUAAGGCCAACGGGAGAAGGGUUGUUAAGGAACUCGGCAAAAUGGUCCCGUAACUUCGGGAGAAGGGACGCCCCCGGAAGGGGGUCGCAGUGAAAUGGCCCAAGCGACUGUUUACCAAAAACACAGGUCUCUGCCAAAUCGAAAGAUGACGUAUAGGGGCUGACGCCUGCCCGGUGCCGGAAGGUUAAGAGGAGGACUUAGCGCAAGCGAAGGUCCGAAUUUAAGCCCCGGUAAACGGCGGCCGUAACAAUAACGGCCCUAAGGUAGCGAAAUUCCUUGUCAGGUAAGUUCUGACCCGCACGAAUGGCGUAACGAUUUGGGCACUGUCUCAACAGCCCGCCCGGCGUAAUUGUAGUACCGGUGAAGAUGCCGGUUACCCGCAACUAGACGGAAAGACCCCAUGGAGCUUUACUGCAGCUUAAUACUGAGAUUCGGUAAUUCAUGUACAGGAUAGGUGGGAGACUUGGAAACACAGGCGUCAGCUUGUGCGGAGUCACCCUUGGGAUACCACCCUUGGAUUGCUGGGUUUCUAACCUGCGGCCAUGAAUCUGGUCGGGGGACACUGUUAGGCGGGCAGUUUGACUGGGGCGGUCGCCUCCUAAAAUGUAGCGGAGGCGCUCAAAGGUUGGCUCAGCAUGGACGGAAAUCAUGCAGUGAGUGUAAACGUAUAAGCCAGCCUAACUGCGAGACCGACGGGUCGAGCAGUAACGAAAGUUGGAGUUAGUGAUCCGGUGGUAUGUGAGUGGAAAUGCCAUCGCUCAACGGAUAAAAGCUACCCUGGGAUAACAGGCUGAUCUCCCCCAAGCGUCCACAGCGACGGGGAGGUUUGGCACCUCGAUGUCGGCUCGUCGCAUCCUGGGGCUGUAUUCGGUCCCAAGGGUUUGGCUGUUCGCCAAUUAAAGCGGCACGCGAGCUGGGUUCAGAACGUCGUGAGACAGUUCGGUCCCUAUCUGUUGCGGGCGCAGGAGAUUUGAAGGGAGCUGUCCUUAGUACGAGAGGACCGGGAUGGACAUACCUCUGAUGCACCAGUUGUUCUGCCAAGGGCAUAGCUGGGUAGUUACGCAUGGACGAGAUAAACGCUGAAGGCAUCUAAGCGUGAAACUCCCCCUAAGAUAAGAUCUCCCAUCCAGAAAUGGAGUAAGGCUCGACGUAGACUAUGUCGUUGAUAGGUCGGAGGUGUAAGCGUGGCAACACGUUCAGCUGACCGAUACUAAUAAGCCGAGGGCUUGACU